AGGGGUUUAGGAUAAAUUAGACCAAGAGCCUUCAAAGCCCUAAGUGGGAGUGAAAAUCUCUCAACCCCUG
rnacentral:tRNA from 2 species